rnacentral:lncRNA from 1 species
GAGUUGACCAAGAACCAGGUUGUGAUUUUUAGAUCGUAGAACAUCCAUGAUUUUGUUUGGGUGUUUAUAUUUCAUUCAUUUGCAUAUAUUUUCAACUGUAUUUCAGAAUCUGAUGAUUGAAAAUACUAUUAAAAAUGUCAGUGAAGCCCCCCAAAGCCACUCUCGUACCACGUCUCCUUUAACCACUAUGGCUCCAUCAAGCUCCAGUGUUUCUCCUCCAUGUCCAGGAAACCAGGUGCUGCAGGACACCAGUAAUGGCUGUGGUUGUCCACCAGGAAUGGUGAACAUUGGGAACAACUGUUCCUGUCCUGCAGGAUUCAGCCUG